GCCCCAAGUCCAGGCUCUUUCCCAGACUCCACGCGCCAGGUAAAAUGUAACAGCGCACGUCUCAGCACAGCUUCACUGAGCUCUUUCCACCGCGCUCCUGCCUAUCUCAUGCAGCAGUAUCUGUUACCUUUUAUUUUUAACUCUUCAAAGACAAGGCCCAUAUUUCAAAUUGUUAGCUCUGCCAAACUGAGUGUCACACGACAGAGCAGAGCUUCUUGAAGCCUGUCUCCUGUCCAGAAGUGUCAGCAUCGUCCGGGACUCUGGAAAGACGAGUUCUCCGGUCCCUCCACCCAACUACUGAAUCAGGAAAUGGCUGGCACAGCGAAGUGCAUGUGUACCUGCUCUCCGGGUGGGGUGACCAACCGUCCAGGUGAGCUUGAUAGAUGCCGACCUUUGACAGUCACCGGACUACAGCGUUGUGUGAGCCUCAGUAUAUGGGGACCCCAUCCGAUGCUGGAGUUCAUUCAGGGCAGAUCGACCCCUCACCAUCUCUGAAAUCUUCAGGGAUGUGGAACUCAAACUGUCUCCAAAGGAACUCACUGAAUCUUUGGAAAGUCAUUAGCAACUUAAAACUGCUUCUCAUCUGGAGCCUGAAGUCUUGAGAACUCAGCAUGCCAGAAAUUCACUCCAUUCAUUUGCAAAUUCUUGGUCUGCACCUUGACCCUUGGUUGACCUGCAACAUAACAGCCCAGGUGCUUCCUUGGACAGGACAACGGACGCACAACUUUCAAGGUCAUCGUGAGGGCAACGGGCAGGCCUACUCAGGCAAGUGGUUUAAUUCCUGACAACGGCCUCAGUCUCUAUCCUUCACGCCAUUACUUUCCCUUCAGCAUUUCUCACCAGCUCCAAGGAAACCUUUCCUUUCUUACCUCUUGCCGGCAACCUCAAUUUGAAAACCUCUCCUUAGCACUUUGGGAAAGUGUAAGCUCAUUUCAUUCUAGUAUUUCUGAGAGCUUUCUGACAGUGCUAUACCAUGACCUGUACUUGUUCUGGGUUAUAUAUGCUUAUUUUCCUAAUAUGUAUACGCCCUUUAAAACAAAAGAGAAAUUCUGACACAGGUUACAACGUGGAUGAACCUUGAAGGUAUUAUGCUAAGUGAGAUAAGAUGCUCACAGAAAGGACAGAUACUGUCUAAUUCCACUUACAUAAGGUCUCCAGAGAAGUCAAGUUCAUAAAGUCAGGAAGUAGAGCGGUGGUUUCAGGGGCUGGAAUGGGUGGGGAGUUAGAGUUUACUGGGUACAGAUCUUCAGUUUGGAAAGACAGAAAAAGUUCUGGAGACGGAUGUGGGUGGUGGCUGCACAUCAAUGUGAAUGUACUUAAUGCCAACGAACUGAACGCUUAAAAUUGGCCAAAAUGGUAAAUUUCAUGUUAUGUAUAUUUUACCGUAAUAAAAAAGUUUUAAAAAUUCAAGAGAAUAUAACUAAUGCAUUUCAAGCAAAUGUCUGUAAAAUACGCUCACUUGUAGGAAAUACCACUUGUAGGAAACAGCUACAUUUUAAGGAGAAAAUGGUGUUGAUAUUUGAUACAAUCACCCACCAAAACAGCUGAGGUGAAGAAAACACAGGUCAUAGCUUUUUCCAGCAGUUUGUACACGUGGAUUUUUUUUAGCGUGCCUGCAAAAUCCACGUGUUUCUCAACUCUGCAAAGAGACAGCAUUUGCAGGUAAGUAUUCUAGUUUGUAGAUUUUCUUCUCGUAUGUGUAAAUACCAGUGUAAAGAAAAUGUUAGGCUCAGAUCAAGGGCCUCGUAUGUUCCAUUUUUUUAGGCGACACCCCUUCUGUCUCACAAACACUGCAGCAUGAGUUUGCCCUGCUACUAACCAGACCACCGGCUCUGCCAACGCCCAGGCUCCCUCACCAGCUUAGUCCUUGUUCUGUUGCAUUUCAAACAGCUCUCCUUUUCCUGCUCCUGUUACUAAGAAAAAUGUUUUUUAAAUUGAAAUAAUUUUUAAAGCAUUUACUGACAUCAAACGUUUUAGAACAGUUUUACUGGUUUCAUGAAAAAUAUACAUUGAUACAGAGGAGAAAUCAGCUGGAGAUCCAAAAAAGAAAUAAAUUUUUUUUUUGGCUGCGUUUUUUUUGGGGGGGGGGUCUUUGUUGCUGCGCAUGGGCUUUCUCUACUUGCAGCGAGCGGGGGCUACUCUUCAUAGCGGUGCGUGGGCUUCUCAUUGCGGUGGCUUCUCUUGUUGCGGAGCACGGGCUCUAGGUGCGCGGGCUCAGUAGUUGUGGCGCACGGGCUUAGCUGCUCCACGGCAUGUGGGCUCUUCCCGGACCAGGGCUCGAACCUGUGUCCCCUGCAUCGGCAGGUGGAUUCAUAACCACUGCGCCAAGAGGGAAGCCCCAAAAUGUUAAGUUUUGGUGACUUUGCUUAAACCAAGAAUAAGUGGGACCCUGAGUGAGCAGGCGGCCAUUAACCUGGCAAGUCUACUCUGAGGUUAGGUCACUGUCACUCCAAGUGAGUUAGUUUAUGUUUUUCACCGAGAAUUUAUUUUCUAUUUUCUACGUCAAUUAGAUCUCCCCACGUCCAUUUUCUCCAAAAAAAAUACAUACAUUAUAUUUAGCCCCUAACUGUGAUGCUUAUAGGUAAGACUAGACGGGGUCACAGAUAUAAAAACACUGCUCUAAGCACUAUAAGUGGAAGUAAUUUAAAUAUUUAGCUUUUGGACAGACUAUUAUGCAGUUCUUAGCAGGAAACCUAGGAAUGUGUUGUUUAAUUUAGAUAUUUAUAUAAAAUGUAUACAAUUAUUUGUUGAAAAAAUAGAGCCAAACUCUCUGUAGAACAGCUCUGAUUACAACACUUUAUGUAAAUGGAACUUGAAUGUAUAGACAAAAAUUGAAAAAAAAAGUCUGGGGUUAAUUAAAAAGUAUUUAUUGGGGCAGUGAAAUUGGGAUUGAACUUCUUUUUGGAAAAAUAAAAAAGCACCAUCCCAGCACUGUCCUGAGGCCCUCGGUGAGCUCUGGAGCCCCGGUGGUCCCUGUUCCUGCAGCGCCUCCAUGGUCAGGUGCUCGGAGCAGACACGAUGCGAGAAUGCAGAGGAAAGAGGCUAAGAGCCCAGCCAUCUGACUUCUGAGGAGCACCGAGGGGCCCACGGCGCAGCAGACGGCACAGGGAAGGCUGUCCCCUGGGAAAUGAGGCUCAGUUUGCAUUCUCAUGUCACAGUUUCAUUCGCAAACGGACUUUCACGUGCUGUGUGUUACCACCCUUACCACAUUUUCUCACAUCACAUUAAAUGUUGUAGCAUAUUAUAGGAAGCUUAAUUUGUGUGAAGGCAGGACUGCAUACCCUUGGAAAGAUCUCUGUUUACUGCCUCUGUAACACUUCAGUCAGCUACGCAUUACGAGUCUUGAAUACCUAAACUGUCAGGAAGCCCUUUUGGGUGUAACAGCCAUGUCUCCCUAGACCAAUGUCCUCCUUCUAAUUCUGUGAUUUCAGCACCUUUUCUGGGUGGCUUUGAUCUGCAUUGUGAACCUUGCUUGGCUGACAGCCAUCGGAACAUGCAUUCCAUCCACAGCUUCAAGUGAAUUUGCUGGCAAGUGUGUCCCCUCUGCCCAGCCUAGCCCUCCAGCGCUUUCUGUCUUUGUAGGCAAGGCAACUACCUCCACAGCUGCCCAGCUUUGAUCUCCCUCGAAGCUGACACUGAAUCACUAGUGAAGUGCAUCUCCCUAACUGAUUCAAUGUAUUCCACUCUUUCCAUUUUGAUGAACACCUCCUAAGUUCGGACCCUAAUUAUCUCUUUCCUAGAUAGUCCGAUACCCAGAAAAGGGAAAAGGAUGGUCUUUUCUAUGAACGGCAUUGGAGGAAAUGGUUUUCUAUAUGGGAGAACAUAAAACUUAAUCCAGACCUCACACGAAACUUAAUUAUUAAUUGACUAAUUACUAAUUAGUUCAAGAUGGACUAUAGACUACAAUGUUCAAGCAGUAUUUACAAUAGCCAAGAUAUGGAAGCAACCUAAAUGUCCAUGGACAGACGAAUGGAUAUAGAAGAUGUGGUACAUAUAUACGAUGGAAUAUUACUCAGCCAUAAAAAAGAAUGAAAUAAUGCCAUUUGCAGCAACGUGGAUGGACCUAGAGAUUAUCAUACUAAGUGAAAUCGUAGGCUGCGUGAAGACAGGUCUCUAAGCAUCUCAUCCUGUAUCCUGUCAUGUCAUCUCCUGGGUCCCCUGCGGUCCAGCACACAGACUUCAGCCCAUGGAGCACAAGGAAUGCAGCACGAAAUGAUGAAAUGUGUCACCUGACACGGUCUUCACGGACAUUUUUAAGUAACAGUGGCUGCAGAAUGACUUCUCUUCAAAGGAGAGAAUAAAAGCAGUGAAUGUUGACCCUUUGUGGGUGAGCCUUGAUUCAGGGAAGUCAUCUAUAAAUAUCUACGGCUCUUGGAGAAUAGCCCAAGAGUCCAUCGACUAACUCUCCAAUAAACAAAUUAGUCCACUUGGGGAAUGAUAAUGAUGUGCAUUUACAUCUAAAGCUCCUUUAAAUCUUCAAAGCAUUUCACAAGCUCUAAUUAAUUUUUCCAGCACCCGCGCUAGGUAAGUGUCAGCAUUGUGUGCCGGUUCCUGCAGAGCUCUGAGGGGGUCCACCAUUAACUUCAGUCUGCAAAGCGAGCACACAGGAGGGCGCUAAGGACAGUGGGGGCAGGUAGAGAAACAAUGACUUGGUUUUUUUGUUUCGUUCUUGGUUUUGUUUUUUUAUGACUUUAAAGAUGUUUUCAGCUAGUGGUCCCGCAAUUCUUACUAUGAGCUUAGAAAGCACUUCGAUAAAUGUCAGAGACGGCAAUUAUAGUAAAAGAGGUAAGCUUGCUACUAAAUUGAGUUAUCAGUAAUGAUGCUUGCACACUAUUUAUGCUUCCUAUUUUGUCUUUUUCCUUUGGUCCUUUCCAAUAAUUUAAUAAUUAAUUUUUAAAUUUAGACUCAUCUACCGUAAGAACAUGGAAGUCUGAUGGUUACUGACCCAAAUGUUGAUAGAAUUUAGAAAGUAUUUAUAUGGAUCAAAACCUAUCAUUUUCAUUUUUUAACCUAAAAUAAGUCAUGCUAAUAACAGGACAGCUGAUGAUUUUCUUUUUACAUGUCUUUCUUCCCAAUAAGCCUAAUUUUCAUUUCAUCAGUUAGGGAGAUUUUUUAAUCUAUAAGAAAGUGACCUGUUUCUACUGCCACAAAUGUCUUGACCCUUUUCCCAUCCUUCACACAGAAUUCCCUGGCAUUUGUCUCUGGUGGGGCUGACAUAUGGGGAGUAGACUGCUGGCCUCCACUGCUAUCACCUGCUCCUUCUGGGAGGCGUCACCUCGGCCUCUCGGCCGUGGGAGUGCCCGGGGCUCCACGGUACCCGACGCUGAAGGGCCUGUCCAGGCGCACACAGGGAGGGGAUGUGCACCCAGGUUCUCCACCACCUGUCCACCCUCACACCCAGUCAUCACCCAUCAUUUUAACUCAAACACUCUCAGGUGAUGAAUCACGUCAAAUCAUUGACUUCACUCAUCUUUUUCCAGAGAACAGAAGCACGGUUGAACCAUGUGCUGUAGCCGAGCGAGGUUUCUUACAGAACAACUGGCUUCAGGGCAACUUCAGUCCCAAAGAACCUUGGUCAUCUGACUCACACAAUUUGGGUGGAAUCAGUAGAUGUGAAGAACGUCACAGGAUUGCUUCCUAUUUUUGAAAAGGGCCAGUGAUACCAAGAUUCACACGUGCCAGUCUAUCAGGUAAACUCGUCGCCAGGGAGGCAAAGUCAUUAUGUGUUCUGCUUGCAGCCGUCUUUCCAACAGGAAACGUAUUAUAAGAGGAAAUACUUUCAAAUCACAUUUUACAGGGUCCCUGGUUAUUAAAGCCCGAGUAACCAUUUAGCAAACUUCUCAAAUUUAAUGUACUCCCUGCAAACUAAUAAUUGAACUCGAAACAUAUGUGAUACUAUUUAUUCCCUAGAGCCAAACCAACUUUCCUAAGGGCAUCUGCUUCUGUCCUCAUGCAUAAAUAAACAGACUCUGUGAGUGGAUUACAGACGUUCUGGGGAUCUGGAAAUGCUAUUUGGGGAUGUUGUCAGGCAUACAACUUUGUGCUGACUCCCAAAGUUCUGAGGCAAUUUUAAGGACCAGACAGACAGGGAUGGCAGUGCAGGCGGUGAGCCAGGAUCCUGGCCAGACCCCAUCCGGCUCUGCUCAUGUCCAUGCUU